CCUACGGGUGGCUGCAGUGGGGAAUAUUGGACAAUGGGCGAAAGCCUGAUCCAGCCAUGCCGCGUGUGUGAAGAAGGCCUUCGGGUUGUAAAGCACUUUCAGUGGGGAAGAAAGCCUUGGGGCUAAUACCCUCGAGGAAGGACAUCACCCACAGAAGAAGCACCGGCUAACUCCGUGCCAGCAGCCGCGGUAAUACGGAGGGUGCGAGCGUUAAUCGGAAUUACUGGGCGUAAAGCGCGCGUAGGCGGUCUGAUAAGCCGGUUGUGAAAGCCCCGGGCUCAACCUGGGAACGGCAUCCGGAACUGUCAGGCUAGAGUGCAGGAGAGGAAGGUAGAAUUCCCGGUGUAGCGGUGAAAUGCGUAGAGAUCGGGAGGAAUACCAGUGGCGAAGGCGGUCUUCUGGACUGACACUGACGCUGAGGUGUGAAAGCGUGGGUAGCAAACAGGAUUAGAUACCCUUGUAGUC
rnacentral:rRNA from 1 species